UAGCGGCGGNGGUAGUAACACGUGGAUAACCUACCUAUAAGACUGGGAUAACUUCGGGAAACCGGAGCUAAUACCGGAUAAUAUAUUGAACCGCAUGGUUCAAUAGUGAAAGACGGUUUUGCUGUCACUUAUAGAUGGAUCCGCGCCGCAUUAGCUAGUUGGUAAGGUAACGGCUUACCAAGGCAACGAUGCGUAGCCGACCUGAGAGGGUGAUCGGCCACACUGGAACUGAGACACGGUCCAGACUCCUACGGGGGCAGCAGCC
rnacentral:rRNA from 1 species